rnacentral:rRNA from 1 species
GUGGGGAAUUUUGGACAAUGGGCGAAAGCCUGAUCCAGCAAUGCCGCGUGCAGGAUGAAGGCCCUCGGGUUGUAAACUGCUUUUGUACGGAACGAAAAGCCUGAGGCUAAUAUCCUCGGGUCAUGACGGUACCGUAAGAAUAAGCACCGGCUAACUACGUGCCAGCAGCCGCGGUAAUACGUAGGGUGCAAGCGUUAAUCGGAAUUACUGGGCGUAAAGCGUGCGCAGGCGGUUUUGUAAGACAGUGGUUAAAUCCCCGGGCUCAACCUGGGAACUGCCAUUGUGACUGCAAGGCUAGAGUGCGGCAGAGGGGGAUGGAAUUCCGCGUGUAGCAGUGAAAUGCGUAGAUAUGCGGAGGAACACCGAUGGCGAAGGCAAUCCCCUGGGCCUGCACUGACGCUCAUGCACGAAAGCGUGGGGAGCAAACAGGAUUAGAUACCCUGGUAGUCC